rnacentral:rRNA from 1 species
GACGAACGCUGGCGGCGUGCUUAACACAUGCAAGUCGAACGGAAAGGCCCUGCUUUUGUGGGGUGCUCGAGUGGCGAACGGGUGAGUAACACGUGAGUAACCUGCCCUUGACUUUGGGAUAACUUCAGGAAACUGGGGCUAAUACCGGAUAGGAGCUCCUGCUGCAUGGUGGGGGUUGGAAAGUUUCGGCGGUUGGGGAUGGACUCGCGGCGUAUCAGCUUGUUGGUGGGGUAGUGGCUUACCAAGGCUUUGACGGGUAGCCGGCCUGAGCGGGUGACCGGCCACAUUGGGCCUGAGAUACGGCCCAGACUCCUCCGGGAGGCAGCAGUGGGGAAUAUUGCACAAUGGGCGGAAGCCUGAUGCAGCAACGCCGCGUGCGGGAUGACGGCCUUCGGGUUGUAAACCGCUUUCGCCUGUGACGAAGCGUGAGUGACGGUAAUGGGUAAAGAAGCACCGGCUAACUACGUG